CCAUGGACACACAAGCUUUCACCAAAAAGAACAAGGAAGAAAAGGAAAACUCAAAAACCCUAGAUCCUAAGAUAAAUCAGAAUUUACCUCACUUUGGCUCUGAUACCAACUGACGCGGAACCCUAUGGCACAAGCCUCAAACCCACACGCACAAGUAAAUACGGAAUCCAAAGAUCUGAUAAACCCACCUCCUAUGGCACCCCAAACUUAGAGUAGCUGAAACACCAAUGAUCGAAGGAUUUAGAUGAGAAUCCGACAAAUGCCACAACGAAUAGUUGAUAAGUUAGCCAAGAUUCCUGGUGCAAUUGAUGAAAGCAAAUCCUCACUCUCACUCAAAGCAAUACACGCCAAAGGCAUGAAAGAAAUUAUGAAAAGUUUGAUUAAAA
rnacentral:lncRNA from 1 species